rnacentral:pre_miRNA from 1 species
ACUUGGACAAAAUGGAUGCGACGAGUACAAGGCCUCGCGUCAGUUUUGUCCAUGCGG